rnacentral:SRP_RNA from 1 species
CGAUAGGCUUGCCGGGGAGCUAGGCGUGCCCUGUAACCGAAAUCGUCUUCAGCGGUGGGACUUCAGGGGGCGGCAGAGCUGAAACGGCAGGCUCGCAAAGUAACUAUGAGACUUUGUCCUGCAGAGUUGGAGUAUCCUGUCGUUCCCGCCGGAGGGUGGGCGCGGCUCGACCAAUCGGGGGAAUCGGGUCAGGCCCUGACGGGAGCAGCCUUACCCCGAGCUACUGACGUUUGCGGGGAAGCAGGGUUGAGAAGCGAUGCGAUAAACCUGCCUGCGGAGGCGAUGUCCACCUCUGAUCGCCUAUCA